CUGGUACAAAGUUCUAGUUUUGUACAAAGCACAAGAUUACUAGUGCGUGCCAAAGCAAAGGACAGAAAAUGCGUUUCUCCUGACUGAACUUGUUUGCGGACUAUUAAUAUUGCUCAGUUUAGCAGAAUUUUUUGGAGGGAAGAGAGAGAACAUGUGUACUUGGCUAUCUCGGUGUCAAAGUUGCCUUCCAUCCUUGGUGUGGAGCGUGGGACAGCACGGUAUUAGGAGAACAGAGUGUCUUUCAUGGAGACGGAGGCAAAGAGAACAACACGCUACCUUCCCAGCACAUCUGAGUCUACCUGCUUCUGCAGCAUCAAGGUCCACAGCGGGAAAGAUCUUGCAUGAAGACACUGUUCCCAGGCACAUUUCAAGGUCCACUAAAUUUGCCUGGGAAAUGCACUGAAACUUCAGUCAGCUCUUCCAGUGUGGAGAAGGCUUUCCUCGAAGAAGGACGAGCCUUCCCCCCUCCCCACCAACUCCCACCCACAGAGCAAAAGAUGAAAGACAGGAAUGCUCCUUAUGCAAAACUAACACCCAGAUGUGACUUCAGUGAAACAGCUUUCAGGAAGUCGACAGGCAUGCUGGUGUUUCGCUGACAAAAUGGACGGCACAGUUGGGAGCAAGAAGUCUAGAGGUAUUUGCAAGAAACACAAGAGUUGAAGAGGCUGUGAACGCCAGCACAGAUAGAGGAUGCCUGCCAGUUAUCAAGUCCGUCCCCUUGCUAAUAUUUUUAUAUCAUCGAAGGGUCAGCAUGUAUAAUCCCUUUGAAAUUCGUGAAAAUGAGCUUUGUGGCGUUAGUACAAUCAGUUUGUAGAUUAAUUUUGGUAGAACAGAAAACCCAUCAAGGUAGGAAACUUGAAACAUCAAAAGUCUACGACCAUCACUGUGAGUCACCCCAGGAUAGAUAAUGAGACUCGGACUCGGUACUCACAAAGUCUGAUGACUCUGGAGGAGACUUACUGUAUUGUGAAUUGCUUGUAUCUCCACUACAAGACGGUGUUGUCCAUGGUCCUUGGUUUCAUAUAACGAAAUGCAGUUUGAACAGUUUACAGAUAAAAGCAAUAGUUUAGAAGGUUUAUAUAUUACAUAGAAUUAGGGAAGGCUGGUGAGGCUGAAGGUUAAGCCACCUAAAGCUAUGACGGAAAUACGGCCAUGACUCUGAUGUCACCAACACUGAGUGCCGUGCAUGCACCCCUGGUGUAAAGAACACAGACAUCAGUGACAAGGACCACAUCCUUUUGAUUUGUGAAGAUGCUGCACUUCUGGAUGCGUUAGUGCCCCUAGAUCCCACACAGUCUCUGAUCACUGUGCUUUUUCUUAAGUCCUAGUGGCUUUCUUAAGUCCGAGUGGAUGAGUGGCUUACUGGUAGAGAUCCUGCCUAGUGGGCAGGAAGGGGCCCUGGGAUUGGUCCCUAGCACUGAAUAAAAGAAACAGUGAGGUGGGAGGAUGUGUAAGGGGAUGGCUUUACAUUUAUGCAGAAAGUGACAACAUGUGACAAGAUGCUCGCAGUCCUGUUGAAAAGAAUUUUCCAAUUAUCAUACAUGUCCUUGCAGGUCCUUGUGCAUUUGCCUAAUUUUUGGGAAAGAAUAAUGUAUAGAAGUGUAGUUAACAGGAAAGACAAUUUAGGCUUGUGAAAAUAACACACUAUUGAUCUCCAACAAGAGUUUAAUCAAUGCAAACUUUGGCUGAUAGUAAAGGAAUAUUUAGCUCUGUGUUCUCAUUUGCACAAGAAUAGUUAGUUUAAUUGGAACAUUUUCCUUCAGAUGUAUAUGUCUGGCAAUGUUAACUUUUAAUUAGCUGAUUAAUUAUUUUACCACAAAGUUUAUGGUAAGAGGAUAAACUGCUCAUUUUUAAAUUAAUGUUUUAUUUUCUUAUAUUACUGUAGCUUUAAAGAAAAUUUGUCAAAAUAGCACGAGCUCCUGUGUGCUGGCCAUAUUAUCUGCUUGUAGCUUUUGUUUUUGAACUUGAAAUAUAGUUAGUUAAGUGCAAAAAAACCCCAUUUUUACAUUAGCCUAACUUUAACUAACUAAUGUUUUAUAAUAUGUUAAUAAGAUAGGAAUCCAAAGCCUUAAGAAGAGUUGCACAAUUGUGUAAAAAAUGAUCUGUAGGCAAAAUACAGAAGAUUUCAAUAGCAAUAAAACUGAUGUGAUUUCAUUUA